UUGUGAUUGUCAUUUCAGUGUAAAAAUUACGGUGUGUCCGUUUGACCAGAAAUAUUUUUCUUGCAUCAAACAUGACCCCUACUUUUCUUUGGAUAUUUUUACAGUAUAAAUGUUGCUCUACAAGAAAAUCAACUGAUCGUGUCAGAUGAGGACAUUAAAAAACAGGAACUUAAAGUUACUGAGGCAAGACAUAAACUGCAAGAAAUAAUGAAAAGUUGAAAAGUCUGUUAAGCAGCUGACAUGGAUGAUAAAAGACUGAAAACAGUAAAGUGUUUCUGAACUACAUUCUGUAUAAUGACAAGGAGAUGUGCUGAUUGUGAAAUGUUCUCUGUUGGAGUUUUACAUCUUUUGUACAUAAUGAACCUUCAUAGAGUCAUAGACACUGCAACAAAUGUAGUUGUACAAAAAAGACUGGCAAACAGAUUUCAUAUCUAAGAGCUUUCUGGUUAUGAUAAUGUUCGAAGGACAGAUAGGGUUUAGCAAUUGUUAUACAUGAUUUGUAUCAUUUGAAUUGAGUAUUUUAUCUAAGCAGGGUCAGAAUUUCAGUAGGAUGCCAUAUUUGUAAUUCUCAUUGAUAAUAUUUUGGGUACAUACAUGUUUACAUGAGGAAUAUCUAUUGAACUGAUAUCAAAUGGUACUGUUACUAGGUAUAUAAAAUGGUAGAAUUCCUGUAGUAUUUGUAUGUUUUGAAUUUAGAAAACUGAAAAUUUAUAAGUUUAAUGGGAAUUUCAGCAUUCAGUUUAAAAUUUACAUGUAUAGUAAUUUUUAGCUCAAUUAUUUAAAGAAUAAAUAGCGCUAUUAGACUAGUCCAUUUGUCAGUGUCGACAAGUACCAGUUUGAUUAGUUUUUGUAUGUAAGCUGGUAUCUCAGUAACUACUUGCGGAAAUGUAUUGAAACUUAGCUCACAUAUUCACUUACAUUACACAGGUUCUAUAACUUCUGUUUUGCAUUUUUACAAAAACAUGCCCCUUUUUCAACUUAACAGUUUUCGGUUACGUUUUUGUAUGUAAGCUUUUAUCUCAUUAACAGCUGUUGGGAAUGGAUUGAAACUUCAAACACUUGCUCACUGUGAUGAUCUUAUAUACAGUGCACAUGUUUCAUAACUCUGCUUUGCAUUCUUACAAAAUUAUGCCCCUUUUUCAUCUGUUAUAUUCAUUCAUUUGUGAAGGGUGUUGAAUAGUCAAGUGUUGCAGUCCUCCGACAGCUCUUUGUUUUUUCAGUACUUGUUUCACAGGUACCCUAAAAAGUAACGAAUCAAAUUCUACAUGAAUUGUUGAUGAUAUGUUCUUGACUUUAUAUUGUAGUAAAUGUGUAGAUUAAAGCAGAUUUUGUUGUCCUACAGAAACAAUAAAUUUUUAUGUGAGUGCCAUUAUUGACAUAAUAAAAGGAAAACUUAA